rnacentral:rRNA from 1 species
UACGUAGGGUGCAAGCGUUGUCCGGAAUUAUUGGGCGUAAAGAGCUCGUAGGCGGUUUGUCGCGUCUGCUGUGAAAACUCGAGGCUCAACCUCGAGACGCCGAUGGAAACCAUGUGGCUAGAGUCCGGAAGAGGAGAGUGGAAUUCCUGGUGUAGCGGUGAAAUGCGCAGAUAUCAGGAAGAACACCCGUGGCUAAGGCGGCUCUCUAGUACGGUACUGACGCUGAGACGCGAAAGCGUGGGAGCGAACAGG